CCCAUUCUAUUCUUGGGGUUGUGCUGCUGUCCGGUGAGCAUGGAGUGAGGGCAAUAUUGCUAACGCCUAAACAACACCCGUGGCAGCUAGAGCUUUGCUUUACCUUGGUGCAGUGUUUGGAAAA
ensembl:snRNA